GAUGAACGCUGGCGGCGUGCCUAAUACAUGCAAGUCGAGCGAACAGACGAGGAGCUUGCUCCUCUGACGUUAGCGGCGGACGGGUGAGUAACACGUGGAUAACCUACCUAUAAGACUGGGAUAACUUCGGGAAACCGGAGCUAAUACCGGAUAAUAUAUUGAACCGCAUGGUUCAAUAGUGAAAGGCGGUUUUGCUGUCACUUAUAGAUGGAUCCGCGCCGCAUUAGCUAGUUGGUAAGGUAACGGCUUACCAAGGCAACGAUGCGUAGCCGACCUGAGAGGGUGAUCGGCCACACUGGAACUGAGACACGGUCCAGACUCCUACGGGAGGCAGCAGAAGGGAAUCUUCCGCAAUGGGCGAAAGCUUGACGGAGCAACGCCGCGUGAGUGAUGAAGGUCUUCGGAUCGUAAAACUCUGUUAUUAGGGAAGAACAAAUGUGUAAGUAACUAUGCACGUCUUGACGGUACCUAAUCAGAAAGCCACGGCUAACUACGCG
rnacentral:rRNA from 1 species